rnacentral:rRNA from 1 species
UACGGAGGGGGCUAGCGUUGUUCGGAAUUACUGGGCGUAAAGCGCACGUAGGCGGCUUUGCAAGUUAGAGGUGAAAGCCCGGGGCUCAACUCCGGAAUUGCCUUUAAAACUGCAUCGCUAGAAUUGUGGAGAGGUAAGUGGAAUUCCGAGUGUAGAGGUGAAAUUCGUAGAUAUUCGGAAGAACACCAGUGGCGAAGGCGACUUACUGGACAGAUAUUGACGCUGAGGUGCGAAAGCGUGGGGAGCAAACAGG